rnacentral:rRNA from 1 species
GGGGGCUAGUGCAUGCUCCGGCCGCCAUGGCGGCCGCGGGAAUUCGAUUGAACCCUUACACUUUGGUUUCCCGUAAGGCGCCGAAUGAGUCAUUAAAAAAUUAACAUCAUCCGAUCCCUACGCGGAGUAGUUUAGGGUUAAGACUACCACGGUAUCUGAUCGUCUUCGAUCCCCUAACUUUCGUUCUUGAUUAAUGAAAACAUCCUUGGCAAAUGCUUUCGCAGUAGUUAGUCUUCAAUAAAUCCAAGAAUUUCACCUCUGACAAUUGAAUACUAAUGCCCCCAACUAUCCCUAUUAAUCAUUACGUCGAUCCUAGAAACCAACAAAAUAGAAUCAAACGUCCUAUUUCAUUAUUCCAUGCUAAUGUAUUCAAGCGAAAGCCUGCUUUAAACACUCUAAUUUUUUCAAAGUAACAGUCCUGAUUCCCCACGACAUCAAAUAAAUGACAUCGUGGUUCUUCAGAGGGGAGAAAUCAAUAAUACCGAGUACAUACCUAAGCAUGACCGAUAUAUUGAUCCCGAAAUUCAACUACGAGCUUUUUAACUGCAACAACUUUAAUAUACGCUAUUGGAGCUGGAAUUACCGCGGCUGCUGGCACCAGACUUGCCCUCCAAUUGUCCCUCGUUAAGAGAUUUAAAUUGUACUCAUUCCAACUACGAGAUCCAAAAGAAUCCCGUAUUGUUAUUUAUCGUCACUACCUCCCCGUGUCGGGAUUGGGUAAUUUGCGCGCCUGCUGCCAUCCUUGGAUGUGGUAGCCGUUUCUCAGGCUCCCUCUCCGGUGUCGUGCCCUAACACCCCGUUACCCGUUACCACCAUGGUAGGCCUCUAUCCUACCAUCGAAAGUUGAU